AUUUUACGUACCUUUUCACGAUGCCGAACGAGCACCACUCGCAAAAGCCACUGCCAGUACUGCUACGGGGUUGACAAAACAAGCGAACAAUGAUUGCAAUGGCAAGCGGCACACCGGCGACAACGAACGGCAACUGUAUAGUAUAAAUGGAGUUCGGCUUUAUCCCAACUAGUCAUACGACAGUUGCACACCAUACAGUAGAAGAUAUUCUCCGUCUCUGCGACCAGAUGGCGAUUAAGGGAAUUUGGAACUUUUAUGGACUUCGUGCGCAAUCUUCGCGUUUACGGGAUACUGGACGUACCGGAGAAUGGAAAAUAAAUACCUGUCACUUACAAAUGGAGAUAUGAAAAAAUCCAUCCACAAUCUGUUGACUAUCAUUUGUCGAUGAUGCCAGAAAUUCAACUAAUCAAUCAUGAAUAUAAUUCAUCAUUCUCUUUAUAUUGCAACUUUACUUCGAUGAAAAUUCUAAAAUACAAUAACGUCAGUGGUUCUUUGACAAGACAACUUAUUUCGAAAGGCAGAUAGUUAUUGAAUUGAGUCUAAUUGCCCUCUUGAAGAACUCGAAAAAGUUGAAAUUUUGAAUUUCAUGUUCCAAAAUGGAGUUGGCAAGUUUGCGAGUCUUAUCGACCUGGUACAUACGAGUAAACAAAAAAAAAAGUGUACUCAAAAGAUUGACUUUUACGAUUUAUAUAUUUUCCUUUUUAACAAAAAAAAAAUAACACUGAU